AAAAAAUCACGAAAUAUCUACAUAUAAACUUCUUAAGAAUUCACUCAAAAACUUUCCUAAUUAUUUCUAGCCUCGUUUAAAAAAGAGACUCAGAUAUGCGAAUGAAAAUUUUCGCUUUCGAAGUCACAAAAAUUCAGGGCAAACAAUGUUUAAGUGGAAGUUGGUUUACCAACGAACCCCUAUAGUGCUUUAUCCUCAAUACAAUGCCCUCGCAAACGGUUUUUCGGCGAGUUAUAUUUACGAUUACCACUGAGUUUGUUUGGGGUAAUAGACGCUUAAUCGCACUGCGCGUGAUAUUAACACGGACGUCUCAGCGGGCACCCUGUGGUGUUCAGCUGUUCGCCACUGAUCAUCCGGGAAACGCGCUGUUUUCGCGCGGUUAGGAGGGGGUGUUUUCCCAGAGCUUAUAUCAACAAAUUCCAACCAACUGCGAAAAGACAGGCUUUGAUAUAAAAUUACUAACAUAUUUUCCUGUUGUGGGAAGAUAUUUUAAGAUUUGUUGUUAAGCCAACAGUACCUAAUCUUUCCUUUUCCGUGAAUUAGUCAAUUUGGGUGUAAAAAAAAGCGGUUACCGGGCGAUUACUAAAAGCAAGACCGGAUACGGUGAAGUCUCAGGUGACCGCGCGUUUUGACACCGAACCACUUGAAACAACAAGAAAUCAAAUAAAUGUAAACUCCAUUGGUGUCCCUGAGUAAGCAGUCCCCUGGGAAAAUCACAUAGCUUGUAUUUCAUUAGAAAAGUCCCCAAAUAAUCAAGCACUAACUUCAUAAAUAGAUGCUCCGAUGCUUUUUUAAGACUGCGGACGAUUACUCGUUCGUUAAAAAUCACAAUCCGAAGUACAAGCCAUGGCAGAAACGAAUUAAAAGAUUUUCACUUUCUAAAGGAAAUCCCAGACUGCUACCCUGUCGUUAUUUGCUGUUGCACAGACAUCCACAGGACUCCUGAAGCAAAACCGCACCCUGACCGUCAUGCACCGUGCGCUUCUUCAACUUCCCAAAAUGCAUCGCGCGGCGUUUUGGGUACGAGACUUGAGUAAUCCUACUAUUUAAACGUCGGAUUUUAAGAAAAUAUAAAUGAUAAAAAACAUAAGCA